UGACUGCUAUCGGAUUGAUACUAAGCCAUGCGAGUCAUUGUAGUAAUACAAGGCAGACGGCUCAGUAACGCGUAGUCAACCUAACCUAUGGACGGGAAUAACCUCGGGAAACUGAGUAUAAUGCCCGAUAGAACAUUAUGCCUGGAAUGGUUUAUGUUCCAAAUGAUUUAUCGCCGUAGGAUGGGACUGCGGCCUAUCAGUUUGUUGGUGAGGUAAUGGCCCACCAAGACUAUUACAGGUACGGGCUCUGAGAGGAGUAGCCCGGAGAUGGGUACUGAGACACGGACCCAGGCCCUAUGGGGCGCAGCAGGCGAGAAAACUUUGCAAUGCGCGAAAGCACGACAAGGUUAAUCCGAGUGGUUUCUGCUAAAGGAACCUUUUGUCGGUCCUAGAAACACCGAUGAAUAAGGGGUGGGCAAGUUCUGGUGUCAGCCGCCGCGGUAAAACCAGCACCUCAGGUGGUCACGAUGAUUAUUGGGCCUAAAGCAUCCGUAGCCGGCUCUAUAAGUUUUCGGUUAAAUCUGUACGCUCAACGUACAGGCUGCCGGGAAUACUGCAGAGCUAGGGAGUGGGAGGAGGUAGACGGUACUCGGUAGGAAGGGGUAAAAUCCUUUGAUCUAUUGAUGACCCACCCUGUU
rnacentral:rRNA from 1 species